rnacentral:rRNA from 1 species
CUGGCGGUAUGCUUAACACAUGCAAGUCGAACGGUAGCAGGCCUUCGGGCGCUGACGAGUGGCGGACGGGUGAGUAACGCGUAGGAAUCUGCCUCAUAGUGGGGGACAACGUGUGGAAACGCACGCUAAUACCGCAUACGCCCUACGGGGGAAAGCGGGGGCUCUUCGGACCUCGCGCUAUGAGAUGAGCCUGCGUUAGAUUAGCUAGUUGGUAGGGUAAAGGCCUACCAAGGCGACGAUCUAUAGCUGGUCUGAGAGGACGAUCAGCCACACUGGGACUGAGACACGGCCCAGACUCCUACGGGAGGCAGCAGUGGGGAAUAUUGGACAAUGGGCGCAAGCCUGAUCCAGCAAUACCGCGUGUAUGAAGAAGGCCCUAGGGUUGUAAAGCACUUUCAAUAGGGAGGAAAACCUGCCGGUCAAUACCCGGUAGCUUGACAUUACCUAUAGAAGAAGCACCGGCUAACUCCGUGCCAGCAGCCGCGGUAAUACGGAGGGUGCAAGCGUUAAUCGGAAUUACUGGGCGUAAAGCGUGCGUAGGCGGCUCGUUAAGUCAGAUGUGAAAGCCCCGGGCUCAACCUGGGAACUGCAUUUGAAACUGGCGAGCUAGAGUUGAGUAGAGGUAAGUGGAAUUUCAGGUGUAGCGGUGAAAUGCGUAGAUAUCUGAAGGAACACCAGUGGCGAAGGCGACUUACUGGACUCAAACUGACGCUGAGGUACGAAAGCGUGGGUAGCAAACAGGAUUAGAUACCCUGGUAGUCCACGCCGUAAACGAUGUCAACUAGCCGUUGGUCCUAUAUACAGGAUUAGUGGCGCAGCUAACGCAUUAAGUUGACCGCCUGGGGAGUACGGCCGCAAGGUUAAAACUCAAAUGAAUUGACGGGGGCCCGCACAAGCGGUGGAGCAUGUGGUUUAAUUCGAUGCAACGCGAAGAACCUUACCUACCCUUGACAUCCAGAGAAUCUGUUAGAGAUAGUAGAGUGCCUUCGGGAGCUCUGAGACAGGUGCUGCAUGGCUGUCGUCAACUCGUGUCGUGAGAUGUUGGGUUAAGUCCCGUAACGAGCGCAGCCCUUAUCCUUAGUUGCCAGCGCGUCAAGGCGGGAACUCUAGGGAGACUGCCGGUGAUAAACCGGAGGGAGGUGGGGACGACGUCAAGUCAUCAUGGCCCUUAUGGGUAGGGCUACACACGUGCUACAAUGGCCGGUAC